AGAGUUUGAUCAUGGCUCAGAACGAACGCUGGCGGCGUGGAUAAGACAUGCAAGUCGAGCGCUGAUUACAGGGUAGCAAUAUUCUGUGGUCGGAGCGGCGCAAGGGUGCGUAACACGUGGGUAAUCUGCCAUGAAGUUUGGGAUAACUCGCUGAAAGGCGAGCUAAUACCGGAUGUGACAACUGGAAGGCAUCUUUUGGUUGUCAAAGCUGGGGACCGUAAGGCCUGGCGCUUCUUGAUGAGCCCGCGGCCUAUCAGCUAGUUGGUGAGGUAACGGCUCACCAAGGCUAAGACGGGUAGCUGGUCUGAGAGGACGACCAGCCACACUGGAACUGAGACACGGUCCAGACACCUACGGGUGGCAGCAGUCGAGAAUUUUUCACAAUGGGCGCAAGCCUGAUGGAGCGACGCCGCGUGGGGGAUGAAUGGCUUCGGCCCGUAAACCCCUGUCAUUCGCGAUCAAACCUUAUUAUUUAAAAGAUGAUAAGCUGAUAGUAGCGGAAGAGGAAGGGACGGCUAACUCUGUGCCAGCAGCCGCGGUAAUACAGAGGUCCCAAGCGUUGUUCGGAUUCACUGGGCGUAAAGGGUGCGUAGGUGGUCAGGUAAGUCGGAUGUGAAAUCUCGGAGCUCAACUCCGAAACUGCAUUGGAAACUACCUGGCUCGAGGGUUGGAGGGGGGGACUGGAAUUCUCGGUGUAGCAGUGAAAUGCGUAGAUAUCGAGAGGAACACCAGUGGCGAAGGCGAGUCCCUGGACAACUCCUGACACUGAGGCACGAAAGCUAGGGGAGCAAACAGGAUUAGAUACCCUAGUAGUCC
rnacentral:rRNA from 1 species